rnacentral:lncRNA from 1 species
GGGUUCUCUCCACGCUUCGUGGCGCAGCGGAUGGCAGCUAAACCGACGUUUCCUCUUCCUAGCCACCUCCUGCGCGCCCCUGCCCUCCCACGGGCACGGUCUGCGUCCGCAGGCCACCCCAGAGGCAUUGCACGCUGCACAAAUUUUCCCUUUUUUUGGCUCAAAGCUGGGUUCGGCUGAGCCAGACCCUGUGCCUGCGGCCGUGGCUCUUCCAGAGGGCCCUUGGCCUGCAUGUCGCCAUCCCACCGCCACGUCUCUCUGCUCUGUGCAGAGUUCGGCCUCGUUCCCUGGAGAGGGGCAGCACUUUUUAUGGCACGUUUGCUGUCUGCAGGAGCCUUUCAUUUUGACGAUUCUGUACCGUGCGAAGACGAACUAAAUAAAGCGAAGGUGUGCUGCUGCAUUCAGGCGCUGUCAGCGCUGGGUGGACUAGGCUCACGACUGCAUGCGCUACACAACUGCAAAACCAAGACAAGUGCAUUUCACACCCAUGCUCGUCACAUUUUGUCAGCUUUAGUUAUUUCAACCUGUCUUAAAAUAAGCCUCUUUGUUUCCUGCUGCUGCAGUCAGAUGGGUGCUGGAGCUCAGAGACAUGCUGUGAGCGAUAGGGUGUCGGGGCUGGAAGGAAGCAUCAUCCCCAUCCACUACCUGGAUCAGACCUCCCUGUCAUCCGUGUUUGUAACCAAAAUUCCGAGCAACAGCUUGAGCCCAGCUCCUGUCCUGAGCUGCAGGGGACGAGGUUUGUUACCAGCAUCAGCAGCCUUCUCGAUGCCUUGCCUGAAUCGCCAUGGGUUUGAUUCUAGCUGCCCUUCUGGGCGGCAAGGCAUGCUCAGCAGCAGUGGCAUGGGGAAGGAAGGUGUGAUUGGUGCGAUGGGGCCACGGCUGCACUUUAAAGCCUCCGACUGCAAUCACCGCGAGCAGAUGAGGAAGCGUCGCAGCAAACUGUGCACCGAGCACCGACCAUGCAGCCCCUCCAGCGUGCCCACCUGUUCCUCCUGCUUGCCCUCUUCGCCCUCUGCUUGCCCUUCAUCCAGGCGCACGAAAAGGUGA